CCAAUAGCGUAUAUUAAAGUUGUUGCAGUUAAAAAGCUCGUAGUUGAACUUCGGGAUUUAUUCAUUGGUCAGGCUUAAUUGUCUGUACUGGUGAGAUAAAUCUCUACCUUCUGAGGAACUUUCAUGCCAUUUAUUUGGUGUGAUUGGAAAUCAGGACUAUUACUUUGAACAAAUUAGAGUGUUUAAAGCAGGCUAACGUCUGAAUACAUUAGCAUGGAAUAAUGAAAUAGGACGGACUGGUUCUAUUUUGUUGGUUUCUAGGAUCACCGUAAUGAUUAAUAGGGAUAGUUGGGGGCAUUAGUAUUCGAUUGUCAGAGGUGAAAUUCUUGGAUUUAUUGAAGACUAACUACUGCGAAAGCAUUUGCCAAGGAUGUUUUCAUUAAUCAAGAACGAAAGUUAGGGGAUCGAAGACGAUCAGAUACCGUCGUAGUCUUAACCAUAAACUAUGCCGACUAGGGAUCGGACGAAGUUAAUUUUAUAAUGACGCGUUCGGCACCUUACG
rnacentral:rRNA from 1 species